rnacentral:rRNA from 1 species
GACGAACGCUGGCGGCGUGUUUAACACAUGCAAGUCGAACGAGUGGCGAACGGGUGAGUAAUACGUGAGUAACCUGCCCUCUUUUUGGGAUAAGCCUUGGACACGGGGUCUAAUACCGGAUAAAGGGGGAUGGGCUCGAGGCCUAUCAGCUUGUAGGUGGGGUAGUGGCCUAACAAGGCGGUGACGGGUAGCCGGCCUGAGAGGGUGACCGGCGACAUUGGGGCUGGGGUUCUGCACAGACUCCUACGGGAGGCAGCAGUGGGGGAUAUUGCACAAUGGGCGAAAGCCGGAUGCAGCAACUCCGCGUGGGGGAUGAGGGCUUUCGGGUUUUAAACCUCUUUCGCUAUCGAAGGGUAGGUGGCGAAGAAGCGCCGGCUAACUCCGUGCCAGCAGCCGCGGGAAUUC